GGCACCUGCUGUAGGUGCUGGGGCUUGUUGACAGACAGAGGCACUGCAGGAGACUGCAGCCCUUUCCUCCAGGGCUUUGGGAAGCACCUGGAACGGCUGGUUAGCGUGACGCUCCAUUGGCUCCUUCUGCUGGGAAGCCUGAUGUGACCAUGAAGACCAAACUGGAGACUCCAGGGCCGUGCCAGGCUGAGGCAGGCUCCCCCAGGCUUGGAAGCAUCCGCUCCGUGCUCCUAUCUAGAGUUAAGUGUCUACUUCAGCCCCACAAGCUAGGGGUGCGUUUGGCCAGUACUGAGCAGGGACGAGCCUGCCUGGAGCCUGACUCAUCCGAGCCUGGCAGCUGCCCCUGGCAGAAGCUGCUGAUUGCCCUAGGAAUAAUGAUCACCAUGGCACUAAUGGUCCUGCUGCUCCUCUGGCAUUACAAGUGCAUUGUCAUUGACCGGUACUGUGAAGGGAACAGGGAGGUGCUGCCCCCCUUGUUCAAAAUUCUUCAGAGAAAGGGGACAUGAAACUUGGCUGUGGCCUGCUCCCAGAGACACCACACCCCUGCCUUCCUGUCUGCAAGGACGACGUGGACCUCUGCUGAGCAGUUCGGACUGGGCCUCUCCUUACCCAGGAACGUGGCUCCUGAGCUAACGGACCCGUUUGCCUGGACAAAUUCCGCACGCUAGCGUUGGCAGGCGCUUGUUCUAGUUCCUGUGUAACCUCCUCCCACCCAUGUACUUGCUUUCCCAGAGCCUGGUGACUGUAGCGUGAAUAGCCCAGCUCUGAAGUGAUGUCACAUUUUGAUUCACACUAAAUUUCAUGACCCUUCCAGGCUGUAGUUCUGUCUGAACUGGGCGGCGGCGGCGGGGGGGGGGACAUCUCUUGCUCUGAGGGGCACAUCAAUACCCAUCCUGGGGCCUGGCAUGCUAGGAUCACAUGGUCUAGGACUUCUCUGCUUACUGGGGGCCAAGUGGCCUGUCACAGGCUUGCCAUUUACAAGGCCCUGAACAGACUUUGUCCAGCACUCACAAGCCCCGAUGUUGGCCCGAUAGUCCAGGCUGGAUUUCCCACUGGUCCUGUGUCAUCGUUCACACCUGUGCAGAAGAGGUAUAAAAUACUGCCCCUGAGCAUCUCACUAGUCACAGCCCUGCACAGGUGUGACCGGUGACCCUAGGGGCAAGGCCAUGAAGAAGCAGGUUCUGAUUCUUGGCACGUAGGUGGCCAUGGGUCUAGAACAUGCAUCUGGUCUCCACUCAUCUCUGUAGAACUGGAGUGACACCUGCCCUGACCAGAGAGAUUUGUAUCUGCUGAGCCACCUGUAGAUACGAUGGCCUAAUCCAUGUUAGAUGUGUCCUGCCAACUAUAGUUGUUUGUUUUUCACCCUCCAUGUUUGUCUGUGUCAACCCUGCAGCCUCACUCGCCCUCAGAACUUAACAGCCUCAGCCCUAGCUGGAGUGGAGGGGCAGCACGUUGGGGCAGGUCAGAGGAGGGAGGGGAUGGAGCAAAGGGAGGAGGUGUGGCUGGGGCAGUCCUGCACCCUUGUGAUUGUCUGCCCCAUAAGGCAGCCCUGAGCACUGCACACGGAGAUGUAUCAGCCCCUCAGUCGGGCAGGUGUAAGCCAGCUGCGUGUCACUGGGCCCAGCCAGAGCUGAAUCAGCAGCUGUCUCAAAUUCUUCACUGCUGUGACGCUGUUCUGGUGGAGACCGAAAAGAGAGGGGCUCCCCCGUAACAAAGCUAGGAAUGAGGUGCUAUUGGCCAGGGCUCUGGAGGAGGACUUGACAGCUGGGCUCAGUUCCCAGCACAGCCCCAGACUUCCUGGAGGACCUUGGCCAAAUCACCUAAUCGACCCUGUUCUCCAUUCCCCAGCAGGAAAUAACUCAGCAAAAUGGUGUCUGGUCCUGGGGAGGGAGGGUAAAUCAUGAGUGCCUGGGAGGGGCUCCCAUGCUGGGGGGA